GCCGCCCCUCCCCGCCCCCCUCCCGCCGGCAACCUGUCGGAGCCCACCAUGUUCCCGGAGCUCAACAACUUGCUGGACGCCGCCCCGGGCAAACCCGAGGAGGGGAAACUCACUCUCCUCUGUGACGUCAAGACGGAUGGCAGUUUCCUCGUCCAUCACUUUCUCUCCUUCUACCUCCGAGCCGGUUGUAAGGUGUGCUUUGUGGCCCUUCUCCAGUCCUUCAGCCAUUACAACAUCGUGGCGCAGAA